rnacentral:rRNA from 1 species
AGUGAACGCUGGCGGUAGGCCUAACACAUGCCAGUCGAACGGCAGCACAGUAAGAGCUUGCUCUUACGGGUGGCGAGUGGCGGACGGGUGAGGAAUACAUCGGAAUCUACUUUUUCGUGGGGGAUAACGUAGGGAAACUUACGCUAAUACCGCAUACGACCUACGGGUUAAAGCAGGGGAUCUUCGGACCUUGCGCGAUUGAAUGAGCCGAUGUCGGAUUAGCUAGUUGGCGGGGUAAAGGCCCACCAAGGCGACGAUCCGUAGCUGGUCUGAGAGGAUGAUCAGCCACACUGGAACUGAGACACGGUCCAGACUCCUACGGGAGGCAGCAGUGGGGAAUAUUGGACAAUGGGCGCAAGCCUGAUCCAGCAAUACCGCGUGGGUGAAGAAGGCCUUCGGGUUGUAAAGCCCUUUUGUUGGGAAAGAAAAGCAGCAGGUUAAUACCCCGCUGUUCUGACGGUACCCAAAGAAUAAGCACCGGCUAACUUCGUG